rnacentral:rRNA from 1 species
AGUGAACGCUGGCGGUAGGCCUAACACAUGCAAGUCGAACGGCAGCACAGUAAGAGCUUGCUCUUACGGGUGGCGAGUGGCGGACGGGUGAGGAAUACAUCGGAAUCUACUUUUUCGUGGGGGAUAACGUAGGGAAACUUACGCUAAUACCGCAUACGACCUACGGGUGAAAGCAGGGGAUCUUCGGACCUUGCGCGAUUGAAUGAGCCGAUGUCGGAUUAGCUAGUUGGCGGGUAAAGGCCCACCAAGGCGACGAUCCGUAGCUGGUCUGAGAGGAUGAACCGGCACACUGGAACUUGGACACGGUUCCGGCUCCUACCGGAGGCCGCCGUGGGGAAUUUUGGACCAUGGGGGCCGGCCUUGUCCCAGCCUACCGCGUGGGUUGAGGAGGGCUUCCGGUUUUUAAAGCCUUUUGUUGGGAAAGAAAAGCAGCAGGUUAAUACCCCGCUGUUCUGACGGUACCCAAAGAAUAAGCACCGGCUAACUUCGUG